UAUUUAUGUUAAUUUCGCA
rnacentral:rRNA from 1 species